GGAACACAACACUCUUUCCUUAAGUUAUAUGAACUCUACCUGAAAAGUUAUAAUCUUAAAGCACUUAUAGUCAACAAAGGUGCCACAACCCCACACGACAACUUAUAUAAGCGUCCUGACAAAAAGGAAACUGUUAAAAAGAAUGGCACCUUCUUUCUGUUGGAGGAAACAUCUCAAUUUUUUGGACUAGGAAUAAUUGAUGGAAUGUAAACUGUGCAAUUUCACUAAAGCUGUAUUACUAACUGGGGCAUGUGACUGGUCAAUCAGUAGGACCAUUGCAUAUCUUGACAACUCACCAAUACAUUAGCAUAUACCAAGUGGCAUUUUGUCACUUCUAGCCUACUUUAGCCAUAUAACUAUCAGCAGAAUAUUACAGGUACCUAAUGAUCCACAUAUUCAAAGUUUAAAAGUCUCUUUAAAUGCAGGGACAAGAGAUUUUGGCAGAACAAAGAAAUCAUAAGCUUACCCCCGAGAGUUUAGAUCAAGAUUCACCUAGUCUCGCAUGAAAUGGAAACUGAAGCUGAUAUUCCAGAGUCUGUAUCUUUACCGGAAAAAGAUGGAGUUAACAGACACUUGACCCCAGGAGAGUUUAACCAACCUCCUGAAACUGCUGAUGACUUAUUAAAAUCAGCAAAAAUAGAAGUAUCAAGUAAUGUUGAAACUAUAGUUAGUGGCUUUGAAGGCAAACCUGGAGUGACAGCAAGUGGAAGUUUUUUAGAAUCACCCACAAUUGCCAAAGUUCCAGGCGAAGAAACCAGCAGAAAAAAAGAAAUUUGUCAGGCUGUUGAUAGGCCAUACCAAGCUGAGAAGAAGAUGCCAGAGAAUGAAAAGCAGACACAGAAAGAUGAAAAAUUUAAGGCCGCAGAAGAGAUGGAAAAUAAGGAGAAUGAUGUCAUAGGUGAAACAAAGGAGAGAGGAGAGAAGGAUGAAACAAGCUGUCAAAUAUCAGCUGCUACAGGAAUCAGUUUAAAGAUGGAUAAGAUUAAGGAACGAUGCCUCAGGGCUGGAGGAGAGGAAAUUUCAGAGAAUAGAAUAUCUGACCAUGUCGAAGAAAACCCAGAGACUAUUGAAAAAGAAACUAUUGGUUUGCAGAAAGAUGAAAAAGAUGGACCAAAGGAAAAUGAGGAUGUUGAACUCAAAACUAGUAAAGAAGCAAGCAUAGUUGAGGCCAGCUCAGGUCAGAAUGAAGAAACUUUGAUUCACAUCCCUGAUCCGACAGUUCAUGAUUUGAAAACUAGUGUUGAACCAACCACAGAUGCCUUCCUUAAAAAUAAAAGCAAUGACAAUGCUUGGAGCACUGAAACUGCAACUACUGAAGAAAACAGUAGAGAAAAAACUCCUGAAGGAGUACAAGAGAAGAAAGAAGAGAGAUGCUCCAGUUCCUUGGAUGAGAAGAAGGGUCCUGAUGUGGAUGAGACAAUUGAAAAGAAAGAGAGUGAGAAAGAAGGCAUCGAACAUGAUGCAAUUGGAGAAUCUUCUCAAACACAAGCAGAAAGUAUAGACAUCAUGGUGAAUGCUGGAGAAACCAGCUCUGCAAUCAUAGAGAAUGUGUAUGACAAACUUGAGAGUCCAUCUGUCACAUUGGCAACAGACAGGUCAAGCAUGCAAGAAGAUGAUGUGCUUAAAGUAGGAGAUAAAGUAGACGAGACCUCUACUAUAGAAACCAAUGAGGAAAGCCAAUGCGCAAUCAACUUGAAUGAGAAUAAGAAAGAUGUGACCCCAAUCACUGAUGAAACCCAAGAGAAGCACAAUUUAGAUAUUCCUUCUGUCACACAGACUGAAGAAAUGUGUUUGCAGAAAGUAGAUGAGACUCAAGUAUCCAAUGUGGUCCAAGAAAAUUGGCCAGAGGACGUGAAAGAAAGCCCACAAGAAGAAGGCCAGAUAGAAAUCCCUGAGAAAACAGCUCAAGCUGAUAGCAGUGAAGGUGAAAACGUUAGGGAUGAGAUGACUCACGAACAAAACCUUGACAAUUUGCCUGUAAACCACAAGGAAGGUAAACAAAACAUAGAUGAACAGCUGGCUGUAACAGAGGCAACAGCAGGGGAGAGCAGAGACAACAUUGGGCAUACAGUCAUAGCAGCUGAAGACAACAUCAAUGAUGCAAUAACUGCUUCAGGACACAGCAAAGAUGAACCAGGAAAUGAAGAGAUAAAAGAAUCUUUGGAAAUGGCUUCUGAGGAGAUAGAAACAACUGCUUCAGGUGACUGCUCUGAAACAAUUGCAUGUGCGAAAGAGGAUACUUCCAUCAAAGAUCAGGAAGAAAGCUUUGACAAAAAGGAGAAAGAAGAGAAAUCAAUGGACAUUGAUGCUAUCAGAGAUGACGGAAUUGUAGAACUGGAGAACCUCCAACCAAAAGAACCGAAUGAGAAGAUUGAAAUUGUAGAAGUUGAGAUCCCAAACAAGAGCGUAAAUGAGUUAAAUGCAACUCAUUCAUUAGAAAAAAGAACAGAACUAAUAGAAGGUGAAGAGCUGGGGAGAGUUUCUAAAUUUGAACCUCAAGACCAAGUUAAGGAAGAAGAGAAAUCAGACAUUGAUGCUAUCACAGAUGAUGGAAUUCCAAAAGCAGAGAAUCCCCCAACAACAGAGCUCAAUGAAAAGAUUGAGCUUGCUGAAGUUGAGAUCCAAAACAAGAGCAUCGAUGAGUUAAAUGCAACUCAUUCACUGAAACAGGAAACCGGACUAAUAGAAGGUGAAGUGCUUGGGGGAAUCUCUGAUGUUGAACCUCAAGACCAAGUUGAAGAAGAAGAGAAAUCAGUAGUCACUGAUGUAAUCAGAGAUGAUGGAAUUCCAAAAGUAGAGAAUCUCCCACCAGCAGAAGCCAGUGAAAAGAUUGAUAUUGCAGAAGUUGACAUCUCAAACAAGAGCAUUGAUGAGUUCAAUUCAACUCAUUCAAUGGAACAAGAAACAUUACUAGCAGAAGGUGAAGAGCAAAGGGAAGUCUCUGGCUCUAAACCGCAGGAGCUAGUUGAAGAAGCUAAUGGAGCAGGUAGAGACGAGGAAAACCAUGAUGAAAAUAACCCUAAAACUUGUGGAAGCACCAAGAACAUCUAUUUAGAGCUUCCACAUGCAAAAGGGACAGAAAUUACAGGACAAAGCUCAGAAACGAGUGAAUCAGGGAUUGAGAAAUUGGAAGAGGCUUGUGAAUACGACUCCAAAGAAAAAUUAGAGGUCAAGGAUGCUCACACAAGCAUAGAAGAAUAUAUACAAAUGAAGGAAGAAGCACGUGAGAUAGAGACACAUAAAUUGGCAACAACAAGUCAUGACACUGAAAAAUGUCACACUGAAGAAGCAACCUCAGAUAAAAUCUGCAUUGCUCCCUUUCUUCAUGAGACAGUUGAGCAAAACUUUCAAGUAGCAAGUCUUGCAGAAGCAGUAAUAACGUUGAAAGGUGAAGGAGAAGACAAAGAGAACAGAAGUAUAAAAAAUGAAGAGGUCAUAGGCACUGGUGAGGUCAAUGAUGAACAGAACAUAAAAGACAAUAUUAUGCAGCUUCCAUCAGAAGUAAUUAACAAAGAGACAGUGCAGAGCUCUGAACAGACUGAAAGGGAGGCGCAUAUAUCUACAGGAGAGGACACUGCAGGACAGAUCACAGAAGGCAACAGUAUUGAAGACAUCUCACAGGAGUCUGUUGAAGAAUGCGCAGUUAUGAACUUCCAAAAUGAUGAAAAGAACACUGACAAGUCCAGCAGCACAGAGAGUUUUCAGGAGUCUGAAACAGCCAAAACAGUUGAUUACUUAGCAAAUGAAGCAAAACAGAAUGAUGAAAGACCCAACUCAACUGUUCAAUGUUCAUUGGUUAAGGAGGAAGGCAUGCAAAGUGAAAACCUAGCUCCACAUGAGGUUUCAUCAGAAGAGGAAAUUGUUGGGGAUGAAUCUUCCAUAAAAAAGGAUGAAUACAAAGAGAAGUAUACUGGGUUACCAGAGGUUGAGGAGCGCAAUGAGGAGAUAUUGAAGGGAGAAGAAGACUUAGAAAAAAUAUUGCAGGAGAAUGAACCCCAAGAAAAUAUUGAACAUUCAUUGAAUGUGAAAUCAGAAGAAACUGACAAAGGUGCUUUAAGUAAAAUGGAUAACAUUGUAGAAGAAAAACUUGAGAGCCCUCGAGACCUUGAAAGGGAGGCAAAAACGGCAACAGAAGAAGAAACUACAAAUGAGAGCAAUAUUAAAAGCCUCUCACAACAAUCAGUUGCACAAGAUCCAAUUGAGAACUUUCAGAAUGAUGACAUCGGUUUUGAGAAGUCAAACACAGAGAAUUUUGAGGAGUCCAAGGCAGUAGGAACAGGCAAGAGCAUUGCAAAUGAGACAAAUCAGAAUGAUGAAAGCCUCAGUGCAACUGUUCCAACAUUAAUGGCAAAAGAAGUGGAAAGUCUACAGGUUGAGGAUAAGAAUAUUCAAGCCAAAGCUUCACUGGAGGAGAAAAAGGAGGAGGAUGAGUGUUCAGUCAAUAUGAAUGAGGAAAAUGACAGCCAUGCUAGGCUAGAAGAGGAUAAGAAGAACAGUGACACAGAAAAAUCCAAAAUAGUUGAUUUUCCCCAUGAAAUGAAUCAGCAGGAUGAAAGCCUCAACUCAUCAACAUCACUGGCAAAAGAAGUGGAAAGUCUACAGGUUGAGGAUAAGAAUAUUCAAGCCAAAGCUUCACUGGAGGAGAAAAAGGAGGAGGAUGAGUGUUCAGUCAAUAUGAAUGAGGAAAAUGACAGCCAUGCUAGGCUAGAAGAGGAUAAGAAGAACAGUGACACAGAAAAAUCCAAAA
rnacentral:misc_RNA from 1 species